UACAGAGGCCCCAAGCGUUACUGAGAAUCACUGGGUUUAAAGGGUGCGUAGGUGGCGCGUUAAGUCCGUUGUGAAAUCCCUUGGCUCAACCAAGGAAAUGCUUCGGAUACUGGCGUGCUUGAGGCCGGUAAGGGUCACUGGAACUGACGGUGGAGCGGUGAAAUGCGUAGAUAUCGUCAGGAACGCCAAUGGUGAAGACAGGUGACUGGGCCGGUUCUGACACUGAGGCACGAAAGCGUGGGGAGCGAACGGG
rnacentral:rRNA from 1 species